rnacentral:rRNA from 1 species
GACGAACGCUGGCGGCGUGCUUAACACAUGCAAGUCGAACGGGCCUGUCUUCUUUUUUGGGGGUGGGUUGAGUGGCGAACGGGUGAGUAUCACGUGAGUAACCUGCCCUUCGGUCCUGGAUAACCGCUUGAAAGGGCGGCUAAUACGGGGUGGUCCGGUUGGUCCGCAUGGGCUGGUCGGGAUAGAUUCACUGUUUUUGGUGUUUCGGCGGGGGAUGGGCUCGCGGCCUAUCAGCUUGUUGGUGGGGUGAUGGCCUACCAAGGCGGUGACGGGUAGCCGGCCUGAGAGGGUGGGCGGCCACACUGGGACUGAGAUACGGCCCAGACUCCUGCGGGAGGCAGCAGUGGGGGGUAUUGCACAAUGGGCGGAAGCCUGAUGCAGCGACGUCGCGUGAGGGAUGGAGGCCUUCGGGUUGUGAACCUCUGUUUCCGGUGGUGAAGGCCCUGUCCGUGUGGGGGGGUUGACGGUAGCCGGGGAUGAAGCGCCGGCUAACUACGUG